UGGGGGAUAUUGCACAAUGGGCGAAAGCCUGAUGCAGCGACGCCGCGUGGGGGAUGAAGGCUUUCGGGUUGUAAACCUCUUUCGCUAUCGAACAAGGCCCGCUUAGGGUGGGUUGAGGGUAGGUGGAGAAGAAGCGCCGGCUAACCACGUGCCAGCAGCCGCGGUAAUACGUAGGGCGCGAGCGUUGUCCGGAAUUAUUGGGCGUAAAGGGCUUGUAGGCGGCUUGUUGCGCCUGCUGUGAAAACGCGGGGCUUAACUUCGCGCGUGCAGUGGGUACGGGCAGGCUUGGGUGUGGUAGGGGUGACUGGAAUUCCAGGUGUAGCGGUGGAAUGCGCAGAUAUCUGGAGGAACACCGAUGGCGAAGGCAGGUCACUGGGCCAUUACUGACGCUGAGGAGCGAAAGCAUGGGUAGCGAACAGG
rnacentral:rRNA from 1 species